rnacentral:misc_RNA from 1 species
GGUUCGGAUCAGUUGCAUAAGGUUGAUAUUUCGCAAUGGCACCAGAAACAGAACCACCUCCAGCAUCAUUUUCUAAUAAGUUCCGGCAUUUGACGUUCUUCUGAAGAAGAUGCUUCAAAGUCACCAAGGCAGCCAAGGACUCUGCAGGCCCAGAGCAUAAAGAGAAUGUAGCUAAACGUUUUAUAAAAGCUGCAGCCCUCUGCAUGUCAUGUUGUCGAUCAUCACAAAGCAUUAUCUUCAAAGCUUCAGCUAAGAUCUCACCUUUAUCCCUUCCAGGCCUGUACUCAAUUAACAGAUUGUAAAGUUGGACAAAAAAAUCCUGAAGAUCAACAUUCAGUGCGUCCAAAUUGUUUCUCAUCACUCUGAAAGCGACAAUGCAACACUGGAGCCUUUCAGAUACUGUCAGACAUGCUGAAACAUCCUUGGAAGAGCCAUCAGAACUAUUGCCACUUCUGGCAAGCUUUCUCAGAUAAUUCA